rnacentral:rRNA from 1 species
AGUGAACGCUGGCGGUAGGCCUAACACAUGCAAGUCGAACGGCAGCACAGUAAGAGCUUGCUCUUACGGGUGGCGAGUGGCGGACGGGUGAGGAAUACAUCGGAAUCUACUUUUUCGUGGGGGAUAACGUAGGGAAACUUACGCUAAUACCGCAUACGACCUACGGGUGAAAGCAGGGGAUCUUCGGACCUUGCGCGGUUGAAUGAGCCGAUGUCGGAUUAGCUAGUUGGCGGGGUAAAGGCCCACCAAGGCGCCGAUCCGUAGCUGGUCUGAGAGGAUGAUCAGCCAGACUGGAACUGAGACACGGUCCAGACUCCGACGGGAGGCAGCAGUGGGGAAUAUUGGACAAUGGGGGCAAGCCGGAUCCAGCCAUACCGCGUGAGUGAAGAAGGCCUUCGGGUUGUAAAGCCCUUUUGUUGGGAAAGAAAAGCAGCAGGUUAAUACCCCGCUGUUCUGACGGUACCCAAAGAAUAAGCACCGGCUAACUUCGUG